AGAGCGAACGCUGGCGGCAGGCCUAACACAUGCAAGUCGAGCGCGUGUAGCAAUACACGAGCGGCAGACGGGAGAGUAACACGUGGGAACGCGCCCUUUGGUUCGGAAUAACUCAGGGAAACUUGAGCUAAUACCGGAUAAGCCCUUACGGGGAAAGAUUUAUCGCCAAAGGAACGGCCCGCGUCCGAUUAGCUAGUUGGUGAGGUAACGGCUCACCAAGGCGACGAUCGGUAGCUGGUCUGAGAGGAUGACCAGCCUCACUGGGACUGAGACACGGCCCAGACUCCUACGGGAGGCAGCAGUGGGGAAUAUUGGACAAUGGGCGCAAGCCUGAUCCAGCCAUGCCGCGUGGAUGAUGAAGGCCUUAGGGUUGUAAAGUCCUUUUAACGGGGAAGAUAAUGGCGGUACCCGUAGAAUAAGCCCGGCUAACUUCGUGCCAGCAGCCGC
rnacentral:rRNA from 1 species